rnacentral:rRNA from 1 species
GGUAGUCCACGCCGUAAACGUUGGGUACUAGGUGUGGGGUCUUAUCAACGGAUUCCGUGCCGCAGCUAACGCAUUAAGUACCCCGCCUGGGGAGUACGGCCGCAAGGCUAAGACUCAAAGGAAUUGACGGGGGCCCGCACAAGCGGCGGAGCAUGUGGCUUAAUUCGAGGCAACGCGAAGAACCUUACCUGGGUUGAACUACGCAGGAAAGGCCGUAGAGAUACGGUGUCCUUCGGGGCCUGCGAUAGGUGGUGCAUGGCUGUCGUCAGCUCGUGUCGUGAGAUGUUGGGUUAAGUCCCGCAACGAGCGCAACCCUUGUCCUAUGUUGCCAGCGGGUAAUGCCGGGGACUCGUAGGAGACUGCCGGGGUCAACUCGGAGGAAGGUGGGGAUGACGUCAAGUCAUCAUGCCCCUUAUGUCCAGGGCUGCACACAUGCUACAAUGGCCGGUACAAAGGGCUGCUACUCCGCGAGGAUGAGCGAAUCCCACAAAGCCGGUCUCAGUUCGGAUUGGAGUCUGCAACUCGACUCCAUGAAGUCGGAGUCGCUAGUAAUCCCGAAUCAGCAACGUCGGGGUGAAUACGUUCCCGGGCCUUGUACACACCGCCCGUCACACCACGAAAGUCGGCAAC